UACGUAGGGUGCGAGCGUUAAUCGGAAUUACUGGGCGUAAAGCGUGCGCAGGCGGUUUUGUAAGCCAGAUGUGAAAGCCCCGGGCUUAACCUGGGAAUGGCAUUUGGGACUGCAAGGCUUGAGUGCGGCAGAGGAGAGUGGAAGUUCCUGGUGAGCGGUGAAAUGCGCAGAUAUCAGGAAGAACAGCCCGUGGCUAAGGCGGCUCUCUAGUACGGUACUGACGCUGAGACGCGAAAGCGUGGGGAGCGAACAGG
rnacentral:rRNA from 1 species